UUUCUAAUCUCCAUAUGUACAAUCUUUUUACAACGUUUUUGAAAACUCUUCUUUUCACACACUCCACCAAAUAAGUUACCAACCUACCACCCGCUGUCGUAAUACGUGAAGUCUUACUUGAGAAUGCUCCGGGCACUUGAUUGUGGAAGGAAGAAUGGAAAUUGCAAUAACAAAAUCCUAAUUCUAAUAGAAUACUAACAAUGCUUUAAUUAGACCAUAAUAAUACUAAGCAAGCUUAAUCAAAUUCAAAAAAAUCUCAAAGAAAUUUCAAACAAACAAUAAGAAUUCUUAAAGAAAUAUUAGAAGGAUCACAAAUAUCACUCAAAUAUAUCUCAAUUCAAUCUUAAUUUAAUUCUAGUUAAAAUCCUAUUGAACUUCAUUAAAACUUUAGGCCAAAAAUAAUUGAAUCUUAAAUCCUAAUAAAAUCCUAAACCCUAAAUCAAACCCUAAACAAACUUUAAACCAAACCCCAACCAAAUCUUAAAUCAAAUCCUAACCAAAUCCUAAACCAAACCUUAAAACCUAAACUAAAUCCUAACUAAAUCCUAAACCAAACCCUAAUCCAAAUCCUAAUCAAAUCCUAAAUCAAACCCUAAAUCCUAAAUAAAACCCUAACUAAAUCCUAAACCAAAUCCUAAUCCAAAUCCUAAAUCCUAAACCAAACCCUAAUCAAAAUCCUAAAUCCUAAACCAAAUCCUAAUCCAAAUCCUAAAUCCUUAACCAAACCCUAAUCAAAUCCUAAAUCCUAAAUCAAACCCUAUCUGAAUCCUAAACCCUAAAUC
rnacentral:lncRNA from 1 species